rnacentral:rRNA from 1 species
CCCUUAGAUGUUCUGGGCCGCACGCGCGCUACACUGAUGCAUUCAACGAGCCUAUCCUUGACCGACAGGUCCGGGUAAUCUUUGAAUCUGCAUCGUGACGGGGAUAGAUUAUUGCAAUUAUUAAUCUUCAACGAGGAGUGCCAAGUAGGCGCAAGUCAUCAGCUUGCGUCGAUUACGUCCCUGCCCUUUGUACACACCGCCCGUCGCUCCUACCGAUUGGGUGUGCUGGUGAAAUGUUCGGAUCGGCCGUUUGUCGCGGUUUCCGCGGCUCGUGGCUGAGAAGUUCAUUAAACCCUCCCACCUAGAGGAAGGAGAAGUCGUAACA